AGCAGCCGCGGUAAUUCCAGCUCCAAUAGCGUAUAUUAAAGUUGUUGCAGUUAAAAAGCUCGUAGUUGAAUUUCGGGAUCAAUAUAUCGGUCGUGCCUUGGUACGUACUGGUAUCAUUGGUUUCUCCUUUCUGACGAACCAUGAUGUCAUUAAUUUGGUGUUAUGGGAAGUUAGGACUGUUACUUUGAAAAAAUUAGAGUGUUUAAAGCAGGCUUUAGCUUGAAUACAUUAGCAUGGAAUAAUGAAAUAGGACGUUCGAACCUAUUUUGUUGGUUUCUAGGAUUAACGUAAUGAUUAAUAGGGAUAGUUGGGGGGCAUUAGUAUUCAAUUGUCAGAGGUGAAAUUCUUGGAUUUAUUGAAGACUAACUACUGCGAAAGCAUUUGCCAAGGAUGUUUUCAUUAAUCAAGAACGAAAGUUAGGGGAUCGAAGACAAUCAGAUACCGUCGUAGUCUUAACCAUAAACUAUGCCGACUAGGGAUCGGAUGAUGUUAAUUUUUUUAAUGACUCAUUCGGCGCCUU
rnacentral:misc_RNA from 1 species